AUGUUAUCACGGGAGACACACGGCGGGUGCUAACGUCCGUCGUGAAGAGGGAAACAACCCAGACCGCCAGCUAAGGUCCCAAAGUCAUGGUUAAGUGGGAAACGAUGUGGGAAGGCCCAGACAGCCAGGAUGUUGGCUUAGAAGCAGCCAUCAUUUAAAGAAAGCGUAAUAGCUCACUGGUCGAGUCGGCCUGCGCGGAAGAUGUAACGGGGCUAAACCAUGCACCGAAGCUGCGGCAGCGACGCUUAUGCGUUGUUGGGUAGGGGAGCGUUCUGUAAGCCUGUGAAGGUGUACUGUGAGGUAUGCUGGAGGUAUCAGAAGUGCGAAUGCUGACAUAAGUAACGAUAAAGCGGGUGAAAAGCCCGCUCGCCGGAAGACCAAGGGUUCCUGUCCAACGUUAAUCGGGGCAGGGUGAGUCGACCCCUAAGGCGAGGCCGAAAGGCGUAGUCGAUGGGAAACAGGUUAAUAUUCCUGUACUUGGUGUUACUGCGAAGGGGGGACGGAGAAGGCUAUGUUGGCCGGGCGACGGUUGUCCCGGUUUAAGCGUGUAGGCUGGUUUUCCAGGCAAAUCCGGAAAAUCAAGGCUGAGGCGUGAUGACGAGGCACUACGGUGCUGAAGCAACAAAUGCCCUGCUUCCAGGAAAAGCCUCUAAGCAUCAGGUAACAUCAAAUCGUACCCCAAACCGACACAGGUGGUCAGGUAGAGAAUACCAAGGCGCUUGAGAGAACUCGGGUGAAGGAACUAGGCAAAAUGGUGCCGUAACUUCGGGAGAAGGCACGCUGAUAUGUAGGUGAAGUCCCUCGCGGAUGGAGCUGAAAUCAGUCGAAGAUACCAGCUGGCUGCAACUGUUUAUUAAAAACACAGCACUGUGCAAACACGAAAGUGGACGUAUACGGUGUGACGCCUGCCCGGUGC
rnacentral:rRNA from 1 species